rnacentral:misc_RNA from 1 species
ACGUCCCAAGAUCACUUAUGGGUUUGGAGUACCUCUCCAAAUUCCCGUGGUGGUUCAUGUUGAGGGUGGGUACGAGCAGGCCAGGCGCCAAGUCCAAUCGGAAGGCCCAGCCGCGGCUAACCCCCCGACAACCCCAGCCCCUGUCCCCCUAGCCUCAUACCGAGGUCUGAUUACCGCAUGUGUAGCUCAGUGGUAGAGCGCUUGACGUAUAGUCAAGAGGCCCGCGUUCGAAUCGCGGCUCAUGCUUUCUAAGUCCCCUCCCAUCUACCCGUGUCGCUUAGUGCCAGCCUUGUGCUGCUGCGCGACAACCUGUGCCCCAGUCACAGGUCUACCGCUGCAGUCCAGAGCUUGUGGUACUGAGCAGCACCCGCAUCGCUUGCACCACUCGGCAGCAUUUCCGCCGCUCAUCUGCACUCAGCACUUGCACCAGCCUGAUCACUCGGCACCAGUACAGGUACUGACCAGCACUUGCAGCAUUCAUCCACACUCGCAUCGCUCGCUCACUCAUCAGCAUUAGCACUGGCAUUAGCACUCGCACUAGCACUUGCAUCAGCACAAGCACUUGGAGAAGCACAAGCACUUGCACUAGCACCGACUAGCCCUUGCACUUGAACCCGACUACAGCACCUCCCCGUGUACUUGAACAUUCUGCCGCAGCAGGGUCUCAGCAGGGUCAGCUUGGCCUAGCACCAGCAGCAUGAUCUCGCAUCCCCGAGCAUUUCGCCGGAAUUCGGGUCCGCGUAGUCUGGUGAGCUGAGUCUCUUCAAGUUGUCGUAAAAGCACUCACCCCAAAUCCUCCGUGGCUCGAUAUCGUAGGAACGGAAUCUCGUUUUUUUUUCUCGCUAGGCCCCGGAAGAGGUGCCCGGUGUAUGCGGCGCGGGUCUUGAGUCCGGCGCGCACUCUUGCUCAGCUACGCGCACUGCUGAAUCUACGUGCAUUGCUACGUUGGGAUCCUGCAGAUCCUGUUCUUCCUCUGCUUUGCUGUGCUUUGUGCAUGCCGCAUUCAUUGAAUGCUGCCUCCGCUCCCCCACCAUCUCUCCCCUUGUCACUCUGCCUGCAAAACACUCAAUCAGCGUCUGUUCAGUACACGGACAGGUGCCACUUGCCAUGCGCAUCAGCUCCACCCGGGAACCCCUAGCAUCCCUCAUCAACACCUGAAUAAUUUCCUAAGCAUCACUCAACGUUCCCUAAUGAUCCCUUCCUCAUAGCUGCCCAAGGAUCGCACAAGGAUCGCACAAGGAUCGCCCAAGGAUCGCCCAAGAAUCCGCCAAGAAUCCGCCAAGAAUCCGCCAAGAAUCGCCCAAGCAUUCCCCAACGAUCUCAUGCAUGCACCAUGCUACGUCAUAUGCAUGCACCUUGCUACAGCAUAUGCAUGCACCUUGCUACAGCAUAUGCAUGCCCCGUGCUGCAUCCUAGAUGCAUGCACCAUGAAGUCGAGUGUGAACUACUCCAUCAGUGCCUCCCAUGCCCCACAUGCAUCCCCCAGUUGCACGCCCCACCUACAUCCGCAUGCAUCCCCCUAGCUACGUCCCCCUUGAAAGCUAUCUAAGGCUUGAGUACUGACGUGUCUUCAAUCUCCCGGUACGGGCAAACGUAGGAACGGAAUUUGAUUUUUCGAAUUGCUGCGCAUCCGGGGAAGGGUGCCGGCUGCGGUGACGUGCUCCUUGAGUCCAGCGCUCGCCCGGCGCGACCUGCAGGCUCGAUCUUGCUGCGCUCAUUUCAACUCUAGGUAGAGUUGGAGUUGCGUGGAAGUGCUUUGCAUAGUGCUAGGUGUGGUUACAUGGGAUGGGGGCAUGCCUGACCUCACCGUGGCCGUGGAUGAUGCAUGCACUCAAGAGUGACCUCGAACAUGGCUCGCCUCUGACAUCUCCAUACUGCUUGCUACUGCUCACCUCAAACGCUCUUAUGCCGUAGAUGCAUCUAUAGCUUGCACAUCAUGUUCUCUAGAGGGGGCACGGCUUCGUUGUCUCUCUGUGGCUCGUCAGAAGGGCCCGCAGCGCCAUUGAGUGACCCAGAAUAGAUCUCUUGCCCAGAAUAUAUUCCCUGGGUGCUCUGGCCUUCUAUGCUGCGGAGUCCCCAUCAGCGCUCUGGUAUGCAGCUGUUGAGCCAUCUCAUAUGGCUCUCAUUGAUGCGUCCUCCCCCAACGUUUCUACUCCUAUUUCGUCUCUUUCUACUCCCCCCUCGUCUCUCUAUUCAAGUCCAGCUAUAUUUAGCUCCACAGCACUUAGGGCCAGCACCUCGUCAAUCCGUUCUGAUCUCUUUCAAGCGCCAACUCUCUACAAUUGGUGUGGUCCACUUCAUGCGCCUCCUCUUGGGCGCACAUCGUGAUGCAUGUAUGUGUGGGUGUUUUUCUUCUCUCUACCUCAGCUAGUGCGCUGACUUGUUGCAUCUGAAGUCUCGCAGGCCUUGUCUGGUCUUGUGGUGCUGCAGGUUUCUGUUGCUUGCUGUCUUGACCUCGUGUUUGUGUGUGUGCGCGUCCACCAACCUCUUCCUUUGGUCCUUGGCCUGAGGUGGUGUAGCUCCAAUGUAGUGUACCUCCAAUGGUCCCAAAAGAUCCGAUAUCAGUAUUGGGCCAGCGCUGAAGUCAAGUGGCAGCUGCUGGCCCUGCACUUGACGACUUAGUGGGAUUGUCUGACAGGGGUGGGCACUCGAGUUUUGGCAGGGUUUUGGGGGUGAAUAUGUGGGGAAAACGGGAAGGAUUCAAGAGGAUUUGGGGGCAGUAGCCCGCCGGCGGUCCAGUUUGGGCCGGCGUUUCUGUUUUCCCCCUGCCUGGCGACCGCGUGAGCCAGUAGCCGGUAGAGAAGCACUCUGCGGCGCGAGGGCGGAUGCCAGGGUGCGCACAUGCAUGCACCCCGGCGCCGCCGGCGCCGCUCUUCAAUGCAUGCCACCGCCCAUCUGCGGUGGCGAAGCUCAACCUGGACGGGUUGGGACUGAUGAGAGGCUUGUAUUCAUAACACCAUUGUGAAGACGGGCCCCCUUGGGGGCCACCAAGCCAAAACUGCUGUGACACGGCUCGCUCCUGGGCCUCUCAUUCAUGGGAGGCUCGUUGCGGGUGCGACAGCGCUGAAGGAUGUAUCGCGGGAAGCCGGGACUCGUGAAGAGCCCGUCACUUCCGAAUCGCCAUGCAGCCUGAGGAAUUUGUCAGAAGGGCUACAGAGGAAACGUGGGUCCCAGUCAUCAGCGAUGGUGGUUGCGGGCCCACGGCACGAGUACUGCAAAAGCUCAACCCGCUCCGGCGGGCGAGGUGCGGUUCCACUCAGCGCUUGCGCUUGUGGUGCCGCCGCUUAUCGCAGCUACCUGGUCGAUCCUGCCA